UUCUUAGUUCCAUGGAGCUCCUCACUUGG
rnacentral:piRNA from 1 species